rnacentral:rRNA from 1 species
GCAAGUCGAACGGUGAACUAGCGCUUGCUCUGGUGAUCAGUGGCGAACGGGUGAGUAACACGUGGGCAACCUGCCCCAGACUCUGGGAUAACCUCGGGAAACCGAUGCUAAUACCGGAUACGACCACUUCGGACCUCCGACGGUGGUGGAAAGUUUUUCGGUCUGAGAUGGGCCCGCGGCCUAUCAGCUAGUUGGUGGGGUAAUGGCCUACCAAGGCGACGACGGGUAGCCGGCCUGAGAGGGCGACC